UGAGUUUUAUUCUGGCUCAGAAUGAACGCUACUAGUAUGCUUUACACAUGCAAGUCUAACGGAAUUAUUUUCGUGGCGAACGGGUGAGGAAAGCGCAGACUGCUACCUUUUAGUUCAUGACAAAAUCAUAAAUCAUGAAUAUUUUAAAAGUUUUACGAUGUUAUUUUGUAUUUCUGCUAAAAGAUGGGUCUGCGUAAGAUUAGGUAGUUGGUAAAUUUAAUAGCUUACCAAGCCUUUGAUCUUUAGUUGGUCUUAGAGGAUGAUCAACCACACUGGAACUGAAAUAAGGUCCAGGCUGAGUUUUCGGCCAGCAGUGAGGAAUAUUGGACAAUGGACGAAAGUCUGAUCCAGCAAUACUAAAUGAACGAAAGACGGUUUUUUUGAUUGUAAACUUCUUUAUUAAGAAUGAUAAUGACAUUACUUAAGAAUUAGUCCUGGCUAAUACUCGUGCCAGCAGUCGCGGUAAUACGGGAAGGGCAAGCGUUAUUCAUCAUGACUGGGCGUAAAGAGUCCGUAGACGGUAAAGUAAGUUACUUGUUAAAAUUUAAAGCCCAACUUUAAAACAGCUUGUAAUACUGCUUUGCUUGAGUUUUAUACAGAAAAGUAGAAUUUUAUACGAAAGGGUAAAAUCUGUAAAUAUAUAAAGGAAUACCAUUAGCGAAGGCGACUUUUUGGUAAAAACUGACGUUGAGGGACGAAAGUAUGGGUAGCAAACAGGAUUAGAGACCCUGGUAGUCCAUACUGUAAAUUAUGAGUGUUGAAAUUUAAUGUAAAAAUUAAAAUUUAUUUAGAUUUUUAAGCUAACGCUAUAAACACUCCGCCUGAGGAGUACGAUCGCAAGGUUGGAACUCAAAGAAAUUGACGGGGGCUAAUACUAGUGGUGGAGCAUGUGGUUUAAUGCGAUAAUCCGCGCAAAACCUUACCAAUUCUUGACAUAAUAUUAAAUUUUUAUUUUUAUUUAUUGCUGAUAAUUAAAAAAAUGAAAUAUUACAGGUGUUGCACGACUGUCGUCAGUUCGUGUCGUGAGAUGUUUGGUUAGUUCCCUUAACGAACGCAACUCUUGACUUUAAUUAUUUACUUUUCUAAAAUAUUUUAGAAAAAGCUUUAAAGUUACAGUCAAUUAUAAGUUGAAGGAAGGAAGAAUUAAGCCAAGUCAAUGUGACCCUUAUGAAUUGGGCUACACACGUGCUACAAUGAAAAUUACAAAAAGUAACUAAAAUUAAAUUUUUGUUAAUCUCCUAAAAGUUUUCCCAGUUCGGAUUGUAAGCUGCAACUCGUUUACAUGAAGUUGGAAUCACUAGUAAUCGCAAAUCAGAAUGUUGCGGUGAAUAUGUCAAUUAGCCUUGUACAAACCGCCCGUCACAUGCAGAAAGUUAGUUUUACUUGAAGGUUUGACUUUGUUCUAACCGAUUGAAAAAUUAGCGAUUUGGAUGAAGUCGUAACAAGGUAGCUGUACGGGAACGUGUAGCUGGAAAAAUAUGAAAAUCAAUUAGGUGAUUUUAUAGGUUCAAUCCCUAU
rnacentral:rRNA from 1 species